UACGUAGGGGGCAAGCGUUGUCCGGAUUUACUGGGCGUAAAGAGCGUGUAGGCGGCCACGCAGGUCCGUUGUGAAAACUGGAGGCUCAACCUUCAGACGUCGACGGAAACCGUGUGGCUAGAGUCCGGAAGAGGAGAGUGGAAUUCCUGGUGUAGCGGUGAAAUGCGCAGAUAUCAGGAAGAACACCGACGGCGAAGGCAGCUCGCUGGGACGGUACUGACGCUGAGGCGCGAAAGCGUGGGGAGCGAACAGG
rnacentral:rRNA from 1 species